GUGCCAUGCCACAGGUUUCCCUCCAGGCUCCCCCCUCCAUCGUGCCGCCUCCGACGACGCGCCCCCGCCUCCGCUGCUGCCCCGGACGACACGCCGCCAACCCAGACGACGUGCCCCCGCCUCCGCCGCCUCCCACGACCGACGCCGCCCUCCACCGCUCCACCCCGGACGACGCCCCCCUCCACCAACCUGGACGACGCCACCCUCCACCGCUCCCACGACCGACACCGUCCUCCACCGCACCACCCCGGACGAUGCGCCCCCGCCUCCGCCGUCUCCCACGAUCGACGCCGCCCUCCACGAUGUUGUAUUCACAAAUAUGAAUGCAUGUGUGCAUUUUUGGUGCGCUCUCUUCCUCAUCUCCCUCGACGGCGGCUGUGGGCGAAGGAGAAGGCAAAAUGGGUAAGGGUACGGAGAGCUUCGGCAAGCGCCGGAACAAGACGCGCACGCCGCAGCUUCCACCUGCAGAAGAGCACCUGCUCCUCCUGCGGCUACCCGGCUGCCCGCAUCCACAAGUUGUGGCUAGGUUGAUUAUCAUAGUUGCUUUAGACUUGGGAUCUGCUAGAGGAGGAGGCGUGAAUACUUUGCCAUGAAAGCUAUGGAUAAAAGCAUCAUGCUUAAUCGCAAUAAGGUCCACAGAGCUAUUGCUGAAAGCCAAAUCCUUGAUCUGCUGGAGCACCCAUUCCUUCCAACAUUAGAUGCAUCAUUUCAGGAUUGUGAAUGGCUGUUGUCAUUGAGCUACGGCUUGCUAUAUGUAUAUUUGUUGUCUGCUUUGCUCGACGACGCUCAAGAACACAGAGGAGACAUUAUAUUUUGAAACGUUAGGUGAUCUCGGAAAGUCGGAAGAAUUGAUACUAAUUUCUAGCCCUCUAAGCUUGGUGCGUCCUCGAGAAAUAGAUAGUGAAUUAAUAUUUUGGUGAUUGGCAAGUUUGGGUCUAAAUUUUAGUAUAAAUAUUGCAGUCAUGCAAAUAAUAUUUGUAGGAUAUGAUGUAAAUUGGUGGACUUGACAUGAGAAUGUUUUGUGAUCUAUCUUCAAUGGAAAGGAUGGUUGUUGUGAGACAGGUUCCAUUUCCAUUACUAAUUUGUUGUAUAGUGUAUUUGGCUCUUUCUGUAGAAGUGCUGAACUAUGAGUACACGGUUCUAAACCUAAUCUAA